UAGAGCGUUGGAACCACCUGAUCCCAUCCCGAACUCAGCAGUGAAACGAUGCAUCGCCGAUGGUAGUGUGGGGUUUCCCCAUGUGAGAGUAGGUCAUCGUCAAGA
rnacentral:rRNA from 1 species